rnacentral:lncRNA from 1 species
ACAUCUUCUUCAACUUCCUUCUGAACUUUAUUCUUCAAUGCACAACUGUAUUGCUCUACAAACUGCUUCAAAGUAGUCUUUGAGUUAACAUAACCAUCAAAAAAUGCAUUCAUGCUUUCACUACGUUGAGUAGAUGACAUUCCUGCCCAAAACGUAUUGUUUAGAUAACAAGGUACCCAAUGAUGCCUCUCGUCAUAUAAGCCUCGUAACCAUUCGUUAUCCCCCAAAUCAUAUUCUGUAAUCAUAUGGUGCCAAGUUUCCUCAAAUUUCGUAGCACUCUGGGAAUCAUAAACAGCACAAUGCAAGACAUUACUUAUGUUGCGAUAUUCUUUAUAACCCCCUAGCUUCUCUGGAACUUUCUUCAUUAUAUGCCAUAAACACCACCGAUGUCGAGUAUUGGGAAAGACAUUCUGAAUUGCAACUUUCAUUGCCCUGUCUUGAUCUGUAAUGAUUCCAUUAGGAGCUAAAUUAGACAUGCAAGAUAGCCAUGUUCGAAAUAACCACGUGAAUGUCUCAAUAUCUUCGUGUGAAAUCAAUCCACACCCAAACAGAAUAGAAUGCCCAUGAUGAUUAACUCCUACAAAUGGAGCGAACGGCAUAUCAUACUUAUUUGUAAGAUACGUGGUGUCAAAUGUAACAACGUCUCCAAACUCCUUGUACGCUUCCCUAUUCCUUGGCUCGGCCCAAAAAAUAUUUUUUAAUCGUCCCUCAUCAUCUACCUGCAUACUAAAGUAAAACAUAUUAUCUUCUGCUUGCACUUUCAUAAAAUAGUUUUGAAGAGCAGCAGCAUCCCCAUCUCCAAGCCGCAAUCUUCUUUCUUUUUGGACAUGAUUUCUACAAUCUCUUUCUAUGAAUGUCACAUUUUCAUGACCACCAGCCUCAAUAACAAGUGAUUGAUAAUUCUUACAUAAUCUGAUUCCUGCUCGAUCAUUUACAUCAAGCCUUUUUUUUGCAUAUGUAUUGAGGCUACGAUUGCACCGAAAAUACUUGGAUUUGGUUGGAGUUAACAGCACAUGGUUGUGUUCAAGAUUUAAGCUUCGAAUUGUCCACUUUCCAUCAUCCCCUAAACCAGCUCCCAAUCUAGCAUUGCAGCCUGUUUUUGCAUUAGGUUGGGGCUUUAAAAUAUUCACAGAUUUGCUUCUUGUUUCACCACUUCUCCCACAAGCAAAAGUCACAUUUCUAAGAAUCCCAUCACUAUCCUUUCUACUAGUUCUCCUCAAAAUCGGAAACCCUUUUCUUUUACCGUACUCUUUGAAGUAAAUAAACAAAUCAACAUCACUAUCAAAUGACAUCCCAAUUAUUGGCUCAUCGUUCUCCUCAAAUUUCUCCAACUCUUCAACUUCGAUGUCUUUUUCCAUAUUAUUUAUUUCUACAAAAUUGAAAUAAUUCACAUUGACAAAAUGAAAGUAACAAAAUACAAAUAAUUCAGCACAACCUCACACAACUAAACUAACUAGUGAUGCAAAUUGUGAACACAAAUUUAAUAUAUACCAGCAGAAUUUGCAGCAUACGAGAUGCCUUUGAUUGGAAUUUAGUGAUUUUUUAUUUAAUAUAUAACCCAAUGUGCUUAUUAAUUUUCCAAUGGAUGCUGAUUUAAUAUAUAAAGAUUAUUGCGCAAUUGAUACCCUUAAGAUUAUUGCGCAAUUGAUUUAAUAUAUAAAAAUUUGACUUCACAAUUGAAUCUUCACACAUUCGGAAUUAUUACAACCAAAAUUGGGCAUUAAUUAAACCAAUUACCUCCACGAAUUGAUUACGACGGCUACAACUAUCUACAGGGCAGACAGAGAAAGAGAAACCCAACGAGAUGCGCGAGAGAGAUCCACGACGAGAGAAAGUCGAAGGAGAGAGCAGCGAGAUGAGUGAGAGGCCGGAUGAGAGAGACCCGCGGUGAGAGAGAGAGCCACAGCCGAAGACAGACCCAAGGCGAGAGAGAGAGACCCACGGUGAGAGAGAGAGCCACUGCCGAAGACAGACCCAAGGCGAGAGAGAGAGACCCACGGUGAGAGAGAGAGCCACUGCCGAAGACAGACCCAAGGCGAGAGAGAGAGACCCACGGUGAGAGAGAGAGCCACUGCCGAAGACAGACCCAAGGCGAGAGAGAGAGACCCACGGUGAGAGAGAGAGCCACUGCCGAAGACAGACCCAAGGCGAGAGAGAGAGACCCACGGUGAGAGAGAGAGCCACUGCCGAAGACAGACCCAAGGCGAGAGAGAGAGACCCACGGUGAGAGAGAGAGCCACUGCCGAAGACAGACCCAAGGCGAGAGAGAGAGACCCACGGUGAGAGAGAGAGCCACUGCCGAAGACAGACCCAAGGCGAGAGAGAGAGACCCACGGUGAGAGAGAGAGCCACUGCCGAAGACAGACCCAAGGCGAGAGAGAGAGCCACAACCGAAGAGAGACCCACGCUCGAGAGAGAAAGAGAGAAAGAGAGAAAACUGAAAGACAGAGCAAUCCCACGAUGAAGAGCAGAGCUUGAAGAUGGCAAAGAACUGGCUGCAAUUGAACUCGUUGCUUGGUGUGAAAUGCAUGAGUGAGAGUGAUGCAUGCGUGAGAUGAGAUGCGCGUGCAGUGUGUUUGCUUGUUCAAACAGUGCCCUUUUAUAUUACAAAUAAAACGCACCGUUCGGGACUUACUGUGGUGCUUAUUGUGGGCUGAAUAUCGGU